CCUAGGGUGAGGGACAACCCGGGGAAACCUGGGCUAAUACCGCAUGAUGUCUCGUCAAUCACAUGUUGAUGAGAUCAAAGAGGGCCUCUGCUUGCAUGCUCUCGCCCAAGGAGGGGGUCGCGACGUAUCAGUUUGUUGGUGGGGUAAUGGCCUACCAAGACUACGACGCGUAGCGGAUCUGAGAGGAUGAUCCGUCACAUUGGGACUGAGAUACGGCCCAG
rnacentral:rRNA from 1 species